UCUGUCUAGCCACUCUCAGGCUCUAGGUCCUGUCAGAUGCUCAGAUGACAUGCCUAAGCUUACAGGACACUGACCACAGGCCAGGCUUCUCACAUCCCCCACACCCAGCGUCCUACGACAAGUGCUGCAGAUACCCGAGAGACACAUGAAGUUAAAAUCAUCUGGGAUCGCCUGUCAGGGAAGUGAAAUGAAGAGCAGGUCUGUCUACAGAGACUCUGCAGGUUCUAGAAUACCCUUUCCACAAGCUCCUGUCUAUGUCUGAGGAGGGUCCAGCCAAACGUGCGCACGCACACGUACACUCAAACCUUGCUUCUCCGAACACACAAUCAGGAUCUGGAUGAGACGCUCAGAGUAAAACGUACAGAACAAAAACCUAGACCCACUGGGCGCGGAGCGAAUGUACUGUUUGUUUACUCUCUGAGGUUUUAACCAGGUGUGCCUAGCACCAGCCAUGAUGUUGCAGGACCCCGGGGCUUGGUUAUUUUCUCCUAAUCUCAAGAAAGAAGGAGCUAUGAGAAAUAUGGGCCUACUACAAGCAGAUCUGAGCGCAAGCUGAGGUGCUUCUGGAAGCUUCCUGAAAGAAAGACAUCAGGUCGCAUCAUCCCUCUGGAGCUGAGCUGCACCUUCUCACCUCGACCUCACCACCCCAAGUCCCAGUUUACCCGCUGAGACAGAGUCACUAUUUGCCAACAGCGCGCACCCAAAGGGUGGUGGAAGAGUUAAGCCCACUAGGAAUCCAGUCACUGCCCAACUGGGCCAGGACUUUCUUUCGGGAUCUUCUUGGCACUUGGAAUUGGAAUGGCUCUAUAGUGGUUCAGCUAGUGUGAGUAUCCAACAUCUGAUGUAAGAUGACAGGAUUUAAAUGUUGUCCACCAAGAAAGCCUUGUUGGAAUUCUCCCUCUGUACCUCAUAAUGGCCUUAUUUGGAAAAACACGGAGGUGACACUUGAAGAUGAUGUCACUAGUUAGGAGAGUCCUAAUCUGAUAUUAUGCUGCGGUCCCUAUGAACAGAAAACUAGAAGCCAGAUACACCUGUGUACCAGACGCUGUGCAGGAGGUGAGAACUACCAGCCUCCUGAACUGUAAACAAAUUUUCAUUCUUUCAAGCCACCCACUUUGUGGUACUUGAUUGGCGCCCCAUGGUAUCUGACUUGAUUGACAUAAAGUCCUUAGGGAAUGUUAUUGUCCUAAAGCUUCAGAGAGACGUGUUGUUAACUUCAGGGUCCCAUCCCAGGUGCACAUAUACUAAGAACCAUGCUGUGGUUUUGUUUGUUGAGACCUUCACCUUCCCAGUGUGCAGCUCUCCUGCCUGGAUUUGGUCCUUACUAGUACCCUGGUUCAGUGACCUGGAGGAACCAACAUUUUUCCUACUACCUUUAGAAGUGUUGCUCAAAGAUUUGUUGUAUGAUGAGCCCCAGUGACUCACAGAGGCCACCAUUCACCCUUUGAAGCCGCCCCUCCUCACCUCCAGUGUCACCUCCUCCAGAGGCGCUAAGAAUAACUGUUGAUAGAAGAUAAACCAGACUCCUAGAAACAUGGGAUGAUCGAAUCAAGUCUCAGAGUCCUUCUGUGUCGUCUACGCCCAACAACUUGCUUGGAUUUGUAAUUACCUCAGAGACACAUCUCUGGGCAUUGGAGCUCCCCUCCCCCAAUAUGGGUGGUGUCGUCUCUAAGAACUGAGGUCCCAAAUUGAAUGAGAAGGGAACAAAGGAGAAGAUAAAUAGAGCACCAGCACAACUCUCUCUGCAUCCUGAGCAGCUAAUUCUGCUGUCAUGCCGCCCCUUCAAUGAUGCUCAGUCUUUCUCUGAACGAGAGUGCCCCUCUCCAUCCCUUGAUUUCUUUCAGAUAGGAAUCCAGCACACCCAUCAUCAGAGAGGCUUUAUCUAGCACGUGAUGGAAACAGAUACAGAGAUCCACAAUCAAAC